GAUGAACGCUAGCGACAGGCUUAACACAUGCAAGUCGAGGGGCAGCACGGGAGUAGCAAUACAACUGGUGGCGACCGGCGCACGGGUGAGUAACGCGUAUGCAACCUACCUAUCAGAGGGGAAUAACCCGGCGAAAGUCGGACUAAUACAGCAUAAAACAGGGGCACCGCAUGGUGAUAUUUGUUAAAGAAAUUCGCGGAUAGAUGGGCAUGCGUUCCAUUAGGUAGUCGGUGAGGUAACGGCUCACCAAGCCGACGAUGGAUAGGGGAACGGAGAGGUUGGGCCCCCACACUGGUACUGAGACACGGACCAGACUCCUACGGGAGGCAGCAGUGAGGAAGAUUGGUCAAUGGGCGAGAGCCUGAACCAGCCAAGUCGCGUGAAGGAAGAAGGAUCUAUGGUUCGUAAACUUCUUUUGCAGGGGAAUAAAGUGCAGGACGUGUCCUGUUUUGUAUGUACCCUGAGAAUAAGGAUCGGCUAACUCCGUGCCAGCCGCCGCGGUAACAC
rnacentral:rRNA from 1 species